UACGUAGGGGGCAAGCGUUGUCCGGAUUUAUUGGGCGUAAAGAGCGUGUAGGCGGCCAUGUAGGUCCGUUGUGAAAACUCGAGGCUCAACCUCGAGACGCCGAUGGAAACCAUGUGGCUAGAGUCCGGAAGAGGAGAGUGGAAUUCCUGGUGUAGCGGUGAAAUGCGCAGAUAUCAGGAAGAACACCCGUGGCUAAGGCGGCUCACUGGACCGGUACUGACGCUGAUGCGCGAAAGCGUGGGGAGCAAACGGG
rnacentral:rRNA from 1 species